rnacentral:rRNA from 1 species
CCUACGGGAGGCAGCAGUGGGGAAUAUUGGACAAUGGGCGAAAGCCUGAUCCAGCAAUGCCGCGUGAGUGAUGAAGGCCUUCGGGUCGUAAAGCUCUUUUACCAGGGAUGAUAAUGACAGUACCUGGAGAAUAAGCUCCGGCUAACUCCGUGCCAGCAGCCGCGGUAAUACGGAGGGAGCUAGCGUUGUUCGGAAUUACUGGGCGUAAAGAGUACGUAGGCGGUUAUUCAAGUCAGAGGUGAAAGCCCGGGGCUCAACCCCGGAACUGCCUUUGAAACUAGAUAACUAGAGUCUUGGAGAGGUUAGUGGAAUUCCGAGUGUAGAGGUGAAAUUCGUAGAUAUUCGGAAGAACACCAGUGGCGAAGGCGACUAACUGGACAAGUACUGACGCUGAGGUACGAAAGCGUGGGGAGCAAACAGGAUUAGAUACCCUGGUAGUCCACGCCGUAAACGAUGAUAACUAGUUGUUCGGUCACUUGGUGACUGAGUGACGCAGCUAACGCAUUAAGUUAUCCGCCUGGGGAGUACGGUCGCAAGAUUAAAACUUAAAGGAAUUGACGGCNGAGAGNGCGACGACGACACGAGGAGAG